CUGGGGCGGUCGCCUCCCAAAAGGUAACGGAGGCGCACAAAGGUUCCCUCAGAUCGGUCAGAAAUCGAUCGUAGAGUGUAAAGGCAAAAGGGAGCUUAACUGUGAGACAAACAAGUCGAGCAGAGACGAAAGUCGGUCUUAAUGAUCUGACGAUGCUGUGUGGAAAGGUCGUCACUCAACGGAUAAAAGUUACUCUAGGGAUAAC
rnacentral:rRNA from 1 species